rnacentral:rRNA from 1 species
UCCUACGGGAGGCAGCAGUGGGGAAUUUUGGACAAUGGGCGAAAGCCUGAUCCAGCAAUGCCGCGUGUGUGAAGAAGGCCUUCGGGUUGUAAAGCACUUUUGUCCGGAAAGAAAUCCUUGGCUCUAAUACAGUCGGGGGAUGACGGUACCGGAAGAAUAAGCACCGGCUAACUACGUGCCAGCAGCCGCGGUAAUACGUAGGGUGCGAGCGUUAAUCGGAAUUACUGGGCGUAAAGCGUGCGCAGGCGGUUUGCUAAGACCGAUGUGAAAUCCCCGGGCUCAACCUGGGAACUGCAUUGGUGACUGGCAGGCUAGAGUAUGGCAGAGGGGGGUAGAAUUCCACGUGUAGCAGUGAAAUGCGUAGAGAUGUGGAGGAAUACCGAUGGCGAAGGCAGCCCCCUGGGCCAAUACUGACGCUCAUGCACGAAAGCGUGGGGAGCAAACAGGAUUAGAUACCCUGGUAGUCCACGCCCUAAACGAUGUCAACUAGUUGUUGGGGAUUCAUUUCCUUAGUAACGUAGCUAACGCGUGAAGUUGACCGCCUGGGGAGUACGGUCGCAAGAUUAAAACUCAAAGGAAUUGACGGGGACCCGCACAAGCGGUGGAUGAUGUGGAUUAAUUCGAUGCAACGCGAAAAACCUUACCUACCCUUGACAUGGUCGGAAUCCCGCUGAGAGGUGGGAGUGCUCGAAAGAGAACCGGCGCACAGGUGCUGCAUGGCUGUCGUCAGCUCGUGUCGUGAGAUGUUGGGUUAAGUCCCGCAACGAGCGCAACCCUUGUCCUUAGUUGCUACGCAAGAGCACUCUAAGGAGACUGCCGGUGACAAACCGGAGGAAGGUGGGGAUGACGUCAAGUCCUCAUGGCCCUUAUGGGUAGGGCUUCACACGUCAUACAAUGGUCGGAACAGAGGGUUGCCAACCCGCGAGGGGGAGCUAAUCCCAGAAAACCGAUCGUAGUCCGGAUUGCACUCUGCAACUCGAGUGCAUGAAGCUGGAAUCGCUAGUAAUCGCGGAUCAGCAUGCCGCGGUGAUAGCAACCCAGGCCUUGUACACACCGC